AGUAACGGGUAUCCAACCUACCCUCCACUCAAGUAUAGGCUUCCGAAAGGGAGAUUAAUUCCUUGAAAUCGUCAUUCUCUCUCCUGUUAGAAUGAUAAAAGGACAUCGUUUCGGUAGAGGAUGGGGAUGCGUUCCAUUAGGUAGUAGGUGGUUUAACAGGCCACCUAGCCGAUGAUGGAUAGGGGUUCUGAGAGGAAUAUCCCCCACACUGGUACUGAGAUACGGACCAGACUCCUACGGGAGGCAGCAGUGAGGAAUAUUGGUCAAUGGGCGCAAGCCUGAACCAGCCAUGUAGCGUGAAGGAUGACAGUUUUUUUGAUUGUAAACUUCUUUUCUGUGCGAUUAAAGUGUGGCAUUUAUGCCAUAUUGCAGUAUCUCAGGAAUAAGCUCGCA
rnacentral:rRNA from 1 species